GCCCAGCACCGAAUCCUUCACCAUCUCGGUGACAGGAAAUGUGGUGUUUAGGCCGUACCUUGUCCCGAUACGUCUCUCCUCAAGUCCACUUGAUUGUGGCCCCAGGCCCAGAGAGGGUGUAAGGCCCGUGGAGGCGAGACGUUCGGUACCCGGUGCGUCCUUAGAGUCGGGUUGUUUGGGAAUGCAGCCCUAAGCGGGUGGUAAACUCCAUCCAAGGCUAAAUACCAGCACGAGUCCGAUAGCGAAGAAGUACCGCGAGGGAAGGUUGAAAAGAACUUUGAAGAGAGAGUUCAAGAGUACGUGAAACCGCUGAGAGGCAAACUGGUGGAACUGAAAUGGUCCCGAGGAAUUCAGCCGUUGGUGGUUGCACAGUCUUUGGUGCUUGAUUUAACGACAACGCCAUUGAACGACGUUUCCAUCAUCGGUGCACUUUCCUCGUUAUGGGCCCGACCACGACCGGUGAGCUGAUCUGUCUGUCUUGCUAGGAAGAUAGCGCCAUCUUCGGAAGGCGUGUUAUAGACUGGCAUACGGAGCAGUCGGCGCACUGGAUGAUAGUGCCUGCCCAUUGGGCUCAUAUGGUGGUUGUUUUGUUGGCGAGUUCUGAUGUCACUACUUCGGUAGAGUCGUUAGACUGUGUCGGCCUUAUGAUUAUCCUCUAUGAUUGGCACUGGUAAGUCUGUGGUUGUGAAGUAGGUAGUCCACCUGACCCGUCUUGAAACACGGACCAAGGAGUCUAACAUGUGCGCGAGUCAUUGGGUUCACGAAACCUAAAGGCGCAGUGAAGGUAAAGAUCUGUUUUGGCAGAUUGAGGUGGGAUGCCGGGUCACGCGCCCGGCCGCACUACCGGCCCGUUCUAUAUGUAUCUCAUAGGAGCGGAGCAAGAGCGUACACGUUGGGACCCGAAAGAUGGUGAACUA
rnacentral:rRNA from 1 species